GCAUGAUUUAGUUUUGAAUUGGAUAAUGGGUCAUGUCAUAUAGUUAGCUGACUUGCUUCAUUAUUUAUUAUGUACAUUGAAUGUUUUAAUGCUAAAGCUUGAGGUUACCUUCUUACAAUUCAUUUGCAAACUGUCUUGAUGUAUUAGAGGAGCGAUUUGCAUAGCUAUGCGCAGGUGUGAAAUUACACCUUUAGAAUGUAAAAAAGAAACUGUUCUGGGCAUGAGGUUGCAGGCUCAAUUUUGAGCUGCAAUAUGAUUUGGAGCGGGAUGCAUAAACACAUGCAUUGCGCAUUGGGUGCACAUUACAGGACCCUAGGUGGCCCAAGUUCAGAAAACAUACUUCAGUGCCUUUGAUAGAUGGUAUGUAGCUUUGGGACAUAAAACACCAUGAAAAGAAAGAAAUGAGUUUAUAAAAUUGAAAUGUCCAUGGUGUGUUGCAAGCAAAUUGUGAACUCACUAAAACUUUACAUCAUGCCUGUAAAGUGAGCACAGAGAAUGCAAGUCAAUGCACUGAUGAGUUGGUAUGCCAACCUAUGAUAUUGAACAUGUAAACAAAAUGCAGACUGCAACUGCAAUCAUUUGCUUAGCACUCUUGCAUUUUGGAGCAUCCUAUGGAAUGUCUACCAUAUAUGUGUAUCAAUAACAUGACAUAUGUUCACUAUAGCUAUGCAUUCACAGGUUCACUGCAAUCACUCUCUGCAGAUGUGAAUGACAUGCCGCAAGGUGGUGCAGGUGGCCCUAGUUCACACAGUGCAAAUGGCUCCAGAUCACACACUGCAGGUGGCUCUAGCUCACACAGUGACCAACGGACUUGUGUACCCUCAGGUUCCCCUGACGAACUUUCAAACAAUAUGGGAACUUGCUUAUUUCAGUUGCUGCAAGACGGAUGACAGAAGGCAGCACUAACGAUAUUGAAGACACCAUCAAAUCGUGGCUAAGGCAUGCUCCAGAAAGGGCCGGCAGCCAUAAGAAGCCAAGCGCUGAGGUCUGCCUGCCUCAAGAAUAAGUGGAGGCCAUUCCAUUGUAAAGCACUGCAGCUAUGACCUGAAGACUGCACAGGCAUCAGAGGCUGCUUGGUUGUGGGCGUGUGCAUCUGGUGGAACUUAGGGGAUCUGCUGGGCUACGCCAAGGCAUGUUUCGUGGACUAGAGGCAGCUACUCAGGGAUUUUUUUUUAACUUUGCACAGUGCAAUUGCAGAAUUUUUUUUCAUGCAUUGGAAGGAUUCUGCCUGUCAUCUGCAUUGUCAAAUCACUUGCAAAGUCAUGCUCUUGCUAGGCUCCAUCAAUAUGGUUUUGUGCAGAAUUUGUGUGCGAGAACUUUUUAUUGUUUUUGUUUUUUAGUGUCAUGGCAGUCUUCUGUAUUGGUGAAAUUGCUACCAUUGCAAAGCCAUGGUUUUCUGAAAUGCUGUUAUUCUGCUACUGUACAAAACUUGUGUGCGAAAUACUUACAUUAGACGCAAGAUCUUUUUUACCUCAAUAUUUCAGAGUAUUUCUGUUUGUUCUGUAUGUGCAUCUACAUGUCCACCCAUUGUUAGCAUAAACAAACCAGUGCAUGGUUCGUGCACAAUGCAGUGCACAAGCGGCAAAAACCACAUGCAUGUGUGAAACGCCAAGGCAGUGUAUUCCGUGGGAUCGUUGCCCAGAUUUCUCUGCACAGAAGCGGUUGGCUUGCCAGGAAUAAAUUUGACUGUUUUGCAGUCUUGCUCAUCUGCCUGAGACCUACCUCGCAAGGAGGAUCCUGAAUCCUUUGCUCGUAUCUGUAGGCCACCGUCGUAAGUGGCACAUUCACUGUUGCAUAAAUGCCACGCUUACUGUAGCCCUGCUGUGAAGUGUCCACAAUCUGUCAUCUUUGCAUGGCUGUGAGAAUCCCAGCCAUUUCCUGUUUCUGAGCGCAAGGAAUGAAAAGACUGCGACGCAUGCCUUAGUGGCAAUUCAGAGGAACCCUCAAAAGACCAAAUAAAUAUGUUAGCUUUUUUAUCCUGCAAUUGCAGCUUGGACUGACCCCGACAUAUACGGGCAUCACUGAAGCAUGCUGUGCAUAAGUAUAGCAAACAAGCUGCUCCUGUUGCAUUAUGCUAGUGUCGUGUUCUGGCGUGCUCUAUCUGUGAAAUGAACACAUACUGGCCUAUUGUGUGAUAACGUCACUGUGGUGUACUAUUGUGGAAACACAUCCUGGUGUGUUCAUGCUACCAGUGGGCUAUACCUUGGACCUUACUGGGAAUAGUAAAGGCCAGCCACUCAUUGCAAAAAAUGCUGGACAGGCCUUUCCCUCUUGCCUUUUUGUGUGCUUGAUGGUCUGAGAAUCGCCUCCAUUGCAAAGAAAUGCUUUUGUAAGAUGCUAUUAUUUUUCCUUUGUCCAAAGCACUUUUUGUCACUGGAUAUUGAGGGUUUUUCUAACCUCUGCCUUUAUUAUGCAUGUUGCUGCCUCUGCAAAGCUACCCCUUCGUGAGACCAAUAUUGUGCCUGUGUAAAAUAACUUGUGAGAGCUUUUUACUUUAUAUAUUUUUUAUGUCAUGGAAGAUUCCUUUUAUAUUGCUGCUGCUGUAAAGCCAUACUUGUGGGACUAUUGUUGCGCAUAUGUAUAGACUUUUGUGCAAGAUACUUUUAGCAAGACCAACUUUUUUUUAAUGUUUUGGUCAUCUGUGUCCUACACUAUGAGCAUCUUGCUUAUAAAAGCAAGGAUGCACUUUAUUGAAGUGCUCUUAGUGUGUUUUAGUACAGAACUUUUGUGCAAGAUACUUUUAUGACAUAUUUUGUAUUAUGGGAGGAUUCUAGUCACUUUCGUGCAUAUGUAAGUUGCUUCCAGUGAAGUGUCAUUGUUCUUUGUACAAAAGAACUUUUCUGUGAAGUCUGAUGGGUACGUCUACAGUUUUACAAGGUAGAAGUGCUACCACAGUCUAUAUGCAAGUUUAACAUCUAGUCAUUGAGCCAAUGAAACAGCCAGUUUGUUUUUGCAUCAUGUGCAUUGCUGUUGUUGCAAAGAUGCCAUUAUGUGCCUUUUUGCAAGAAAAUGUGUGCAUAGUCAUUGUGCCAGAUAUUUCUUGUUCUCUUGUACUGUUUGUUUAGUUAUAUUUGUGAUAUCACAGUUCAGGUACCAAUGCAGUCAGUUUAUUCUAGUCUUUUUCCUUUAUAAAGUGUAUGUACAUCACUGCAUUAAGUUGACAAUUAGAAUUUUUCUGUGUUAAGGUCACUUCAAGAAGCAUCUUUAGUUCUCUUCUGUGCCCCUGUACUGAUCUUGUCAAUGUCAACAUAUACUCCUGCUGGCAUCUUUUGUGAUUUUCACUUUCUUGUGGGUCCUUAUGGGCAUUUCUUUAAUGUGUUCAGGCACAGGUUAUGUUUUGCUGUGCCAAGCACACAGGCAUGUUCUUACAGUAUGCUUUUUAAAUAAAGAUCCAAUGUUUCUGCAGUUUAUGCGCAAGUCUAUGCCUCAGUUAGGCCAUCCUAAAAAGCUGAGCAAGUUUUAUUAAAAGGCUUAUUACAUCAUUUGAAUUCACAUUCAUGCAGCUUAAUAUCUACAACUUUGAUGACUAUUGGAGUUGAUACAUAAUGCAUAUUCUGGCUUAUUCUGUGCAUUUGGAAACUGCACAUAUACAUUUCUGAUGC